rnacentral:rRNA from 1 species
UACGUAGGGUCCGAGCGUUGUCCGGAUUUAUUGGGCGUAAAGCGCGUGUAGGCGGCCAGGUAGGUCCGCUGUGAAAACCCGAGGCUCAACCUCGGGACGUCGGCGGAAACCAUCUGGCUAGAGUCCGGAAGAGGAGAGUGGAAUUCCCGGUGUAGCGGUGAAAUGCGCAGAUAUCGGGAAGAACACCCGUGGCGAAGGCGGCUCUCUGGGACGGUACUGACGCUGAGACGCGAAAGCGUGGGGAGCGAACAGG